UCACCCAACUCAAGCCAAGAUAGUGAUUCAAAAGCCUUGCCACCAGGUGGAGCUCUAAGAUCAAAAAAUAAAUUCCGGCUCCUAAGAUUCCAAAAGUUGGCUUGAAACUCAACAUUCAGAAAACUAAGAUCAUGGCAUUUGGCCCUCUCAAUUCCUGGCAGAUAGAUGGGGAAGAAAUGGAGGUAGUGACAGAUUUUAUUUUCCUGAGCUCCAAGAUCACUGCAGAGGGGGACUGCAGCCAAGAAAUUAAAAGAGGCUUGCUCCUGGGGAGGAAAGCUAUGGCAAAGCUAGACAGAGUACUAAAAAGCAGAGACAUCACCCUGCCAACAAAAGUGCAUAUGGUUAAGGCGAUGGUUUUCCCAGUUGGAAUGGAUGGCUGUGCAAGUUAGACCAUAAGGAAGGCUGAGCCCCAAAGAAUUGAGGCCUUUGAACUCUGGUGCUGGAGAAGACUCCUGCGAGUCCCUUGGACUGCAAGGCGAUCUAACCGGUCAGUCCCAGAGGAAAUCAACCCUGACUGCUCUUUAGAAGGCCAGAUCCUGAAGAGGAAACUCAAAUCCUUUGGCCACCUAAUGAGAAGGACGGACUCCCUGGAGAAGAGCCUGAUGCUGGGAAUGAUGGAGGGCAAAAGAAGAAGGGGACGGCAGAGAAUGAGGUGGCUGGAUGGAGUCACUGAAGCAGUCGGUAUGAGCUUCAAUGGACUCCAGAGGAUGGUAGAGGAUAGGAAGGCCUGGAGGAACUUUGUCCAUGGGGUCGCGAUGGGUCGGACACGACUUCGCAACUAACAACAACAAAGGUUCCUAAGCUUUGAGAUCUACAUGAACUGGUAGAAAAGGAUCGAUUCUCCUCUGCCUGCUGAGGUAGAUGGUAUCUGCAGAAUACCAUGGAACUAUAAUAUAAAAUAUAACAUAUGACACUCUUAAGUCAAGGAUCUGUACUGGCCCCAAAAGAAACCCGUAAAAAAAAAAACCCUUUGAGCAAAAAAUUGUUUGACCCACAAUCAUUCCACGCUCCAGGAAGGAAGCGCCAAUUUGCAUACAGGACACCUUUUCUAGCCCUCACAAGACUUUAAAUUGAGAAGAAUGGGAGAACUUUGCCAAGCUGCUCUGGUCUCCAUUCACCACCAUGGCGAAUUGCUAUGGAGUCCUCGCUGUCCUAAUUUCUUGCUUUGGUGUCUUCUCCCAGGCGCAGGUGAUUCAAAGCGACCCCCUUUCAGUGGGCCUUGCAGGAACAACCGUCAUAACCUGUACCCUGCAAGGCGUGGAGUUUAUCAGCCCCGCGAACCCAUCCUGGUAUCAGCAGAAAGGAGACCAGCCUCCCAAGUUGCUCAUCUACAAAUCCAGGGAAAGGGCCAGCGGGAUUCCCGCCCGUUUCUCUGCCGACACUUACGGCAACAGUGCCAAGUUGACCAUUUCGAGUGUUGAGGAGGGCGACGAAGCGGGUUAUUACUGUGCUGUGUGGCAUAACGAUCAGUUACACACUGUUGCCUUCAGAUGCAGAAGUGAAACAGAAAACAAGAGAGCUGAGCACAAUGAUCUUACUGAACGGGAGAACUGGGACAAAACCUUCUUCAUCAGUGCUCACAAGAGCCUCACUUAG